GGGGCUAUUUGGUUUUGACAGCAGGUAGAAUGGUUGUGUAAGCACGUCGAGCCAUGAGGCAAUGCUCGUUAAUCUCGCUUCAAAAUAUAACUGGCAACUAUGAGUAUGCUCUCGCUGCCUAAUCGAAGUAUAGUAGAUUAGCCUUUUUCGGAUGCAAGGCGUCUGAACGAGACAUCGCUCCAAGCCGAGUCUGUGGGCUCAAUGGAUAUAGCGGUGCGGAAAUUCACAGAAUAGGUGUCGCAGGCUGCGAUGCGGGACCGAAAACUUAGCAGAUAAGCCGGNNNNNNNNNNNNNNNNNNNNGGUUGGUGGCUUGGGUCUUGCCGCCGGACGAAAAUCAAAGCCAAGAUAAACGUGUAGAAAGCGGAAUUAUUCCUUGUUUGGACGCGAGUUCGACUCUCGCUAGCUCCAC
rnacentral:tmRNA from 1 species